rnacentral:rRNA from 1 species
AGGAGGGCGUGUCAUCUCGCAAU